rnacentral:rRNA from 1 species
CCUACGGGUGGCAGCAGUGGGGAAUAUUGCGCAAUGGGCGAAAGCCUGACGCAGCGACGCCGCGUGAGGGAUGAAGGUCUUCGGAUCGUAAACCUCUGUCAGCAGGGAAGAACGGUCACUGUGCUAAUCAGCAGUGAAUUGACGGUACCUGACUAAGAAGCCCCGGCGAACUACGUGCCAGCAGCCGCGGUAAUACGUAGGGGGCAAGCGUUAUCCGGAUUUACUGGGUGUAAAGGGAGCGUAGACGGUUAUGCAAGUCUGAAGUGAAAGCCGAAGGCUCAACCAUGGGACUGCUUUGGAAACUGGAAAACUUGAGUGCGGGAGAGGUAAGCGGAAUUCCUGGUGUAGCGGUGAAAUGCGUAGAUAGUAGGAGGAACACCAGUGGCGAAGGCAGCUUACUGGACUGUAACUGACGUUGAGGCUCGAAGGCGUGGGGAGCAAACAGGAUUAGAUACCCCAGUAGUC